UUUAAAUCCUCUGCAACAAUUCAAUGUUAUUAUAAACUGUAAGUGGAGACAAUGGAUCAGUUAAACUUACACACAAAUGCCUUGUAUUUUGGAUUAUGGAUGAAACGGAUCAUCAUUUCAACUACGACGCCGCUCUGACCGACACAUCACAGCGUCACGUGUCUGUUCGCUGCCACCAGAGGUCGCCACACACCACACUCACUGUUUCACCGUGGACUCCAUCUCCCAAGAUCCCCUCUGAUUACACCUUCACCUGUUGCCUAUCACCCAGUCACUAUUUAAGCCUCACUCCACAUUACUCAGUAUUGUUUGUUUUUGAGCCUUACCUUGUGUUUGUUGGAUUGCAAUGUUUGGAUUACCCUUAAAUAAAGCUACACUUGGAUCAGACCCCAGACCCCGUUUCUUACAAGCAUCAUGACACAGAACAUUUCUCAAGGAGAAAAAAAUCACACAUAUUUAAGAUGAUUUGAGGAAAGCUGAGACUGCACGUUCCAGAAAACACUGACUGCUUACAACGCUGACCUGACACUUGCUGCUUAGUUUUUUACCCUAACAUUUUGAAUUUGAUCUGGCAGCAAAAUGUAGACUUUUACUACAAAUUAAUAAAGAGAUUUGAUGCAGGUGCUAUUAUGAGACUUAUAAUUUAAAUGUCCACAUAUUGUUAAUACAUUUAUCUGUUUACAUAUGGACUGUGUAAGGGAGCGCUUCAAAAAUAUAUCUUACAAAAGUCA